UACGUAGGGGGCUAGCGUUGUCCGGAUUUAUUGGGCGUAAAGAGCUCGUAGGUGGUUCGGUAAGUCGGAUGUGAAAUCUCCAGGCUCAACCUGGAGGGUCAUUCGAUACUGCCGUGACUAGAGUUCGGUAGGGGAGUGUGGAAUUCCUGGUGGAGCGGUGAAAUGCGCAGAUAUCAGGAGGAACACCCGUAGCGAAGGCGGCACUCUGGGCCGAUACUGACACUGAGGAGCGAAAGCGUGGGGAGCGAACAGG
rnacentral:rRNA from 1 species